rnacentral:rRNA from 1 species
UACGAAGGUGGCAAGCGUUGUCCGGAUUUACUGGGCGUAAAGGAUGCGUAGGCGGACAUUUAAGUCAGAUGUGAAAUACCCGAGCUUAACUUGGGUGCUGCAUUUGAAACUGGGUGUCUAGAGUGCAGGAGAGGUAAGUGGAAUUCCUAGUGUAGCGGUGAAAUGCGUAGAGAUUAGGAAGAACACCAGUGGCGAAGGCGACUUACUGGACUGUAACUGACGCUGAGGCAUGAAAGCGUGGGGAGCAAACAGG